UACGUAGGCAGCAAGCGUUGUUCGGAAUUACUGGGCGUAAAGAGUGUGUAGGCGGUGCUCUAAGUCUGUUGUGAAAUCUCCCGGCUUAACUGGGAGGGUGCGGCGGAGACUGGAGUGCUAGAGUGUGGGAGAGGUAAGCGGAAUUCCUGGUGUAGCGGUGAAAUGCGCAGAUAUCAGGAGGAACACCGAUUGCGAAGGCAGCUCGCUGGGACGUAACUGACGCUGAGGCGCGAAAGCGUGGGGAGCAAACAGG
rnacentral:rRNA from 1 species